rnacentral:rRNA from 1 species
AUUGAACGCUGGCGGCAUGCCUAACACAUGCAAGUCGAACGAGUGGCGGACGGGUGAGUAAUGUCUGGGAAACUGCCCUAUGGAGGGGGAUAACUACUGGAAACGGUAGCUAAUACCGCAUACCAUCGGAUGUGCCCAGAUGGGAUUAGCUAGUAGGUAGGGUAACGGCUCACCUAGGCGACGAUCCCUAGCUGGUCUGAGAGGAUGACCAGCCACACUGGAACUGAGACACGGUCCAGACUCCUACGGGAGGCAGCAGUGGGGAAUAUUGCACAAUGGGCGCAAGCCUGACGCAGCCAUGCCGCGUGUAUGAAGAAGGCCUUCGGGUUGUAAAGUUCUUUCAGUGAGGAGGCGUUACCUGCAGAAGAAGCACCGGCUAACUCCGUGCCAGCAGCCGCGGUAAUAC